ACAUGCCUACAACAUAACAUUAAUGCAUCGGAUUACAUUAGAACUUGGUAGUUAAGCGCGCUUGAUAUAGAGCAGUAUUGGGAUGGGUGACCGCCCAGGAAGUCCUAUUGUUUCACAUUCC
rnacentral:rRNA from 1 species